rnacentral:lncRNA from 1 species
CAAGAUGUCAGCUACAACUCUCAUGAAGAAAUCGAAGCCAAAAUCGAACUCUAAACACACAUGCAAGCUCAAACAAGUCACUGACUCACACGGUCCGAACACAAACAGCCACACCAUCCACACACAACUCAUCCAUGCUUCGGUUUUUCACAUCUAACACCCAAAAAUUCGACAUGCAACCAACACACAAGCAUGCAAGAGAAGCUAGAGGACUUCCACUUGCCUCUAGACCGGUCGGUCGACGGCGUAGGGCGGCGAACACGGCGGACGAACGGAGGCUCCUCCUCGGCUCCGCCUCCUUCCUCUCUCGGCCUCUCCCUCUCUCUC